rnacentral:rRNA from 1 species
AUUGAACGCUGGCGGCAGGCCUAACACAUGCAAGUCGAGCGGCAGCGGGAGGAAGCUUGCUUCCUCGCCGGCGAGCGGCGGACGGGUGAGUAAUGUCUGGGGAUCUGCCCGAUGGAGGGGGAUAACCACUGGAAACGGUGGCUAAUACCGCAUAACGUCGCAAGACCAAAGUGGGGGACCUUCGGGCCUCACACCAUCGGAUGAACCCAGAUGGGAUUAGCUGGUAGGUGGGGUAAUGGCUCACCUAGGCGACGAUCCCUAGCUGGUCUGAGAGGAUGACCAGCCACACUGGAACUGAGACACGGUCCAGACUCCUACGGGAGGCAGCAGUGGGGAAUAUUGCACAAUGGGCGCAAGCCUGAUGCAGCCAUGCCGCGUGUGUGAAGAAGGCCUUCGGGUUGUAAAGCACUUUCAGCGAGGAGGAAGGUGGUGAGCUUAAUACGCUCAUCAAUUGACGUUACUCGCAGAAGAAGCACCGGCUAACUCCGUGCCAGCAGCCGCGGUAAUAC